GACGAAGGAUGCAAGCGUUAUCCGGAUUCAUUGGGUUUAAAGGGAGCGUAGGUGGCCUUAUAAGUCAGUGGUGAAAUCUCUGGGCUUAACCCGGAAAUUGCCAUUGAUACUGUAGGGCUUGAGUACAGUUGCUGUGGGCGGAAUAUGACGUGUAGUGGUGAAAUACAUAGAGAUGUCAUAGAACACCGAUUGCGAAGGCAGCUCACAAAACUGUAACUGACACUGAGGCUCGAAAGUACGGGGAUCAAACAGG
rnacentral:rRNA from 1 species